rnacentral:rRNA from 1 species
UACAGAGGGUGCGAGCGUUGUCCGGAAUCACUGGGCGUAAAGGGCGCGUAGGCGGCUCGGUCAGUCGGGUGUGAAAUCCCUGGGCUCAACCUGGGAACUGCAUCGAUACUGCCGAGCUAGAGUGUGGGAGAGGGUAGUGGAAUUCCCAGUGUAGAGGUGAAAUUCGUAGAUAUUGGGAAGAACACCGAUGGCGAAGGCAGCCAUCUGGACCGACACUGACGCUGAGGCGCGAAAGCGUGGGGAGCAAACAGG